rnacentral:rRNA from 1 species
CCUACGGGUGGCUGCAGUGGGGAAUAUUGCACAAUGGGCGCAAGCCUGAUGCAGCCAUGCCGCGUGUGUGAAGAAGGCCUUCGGGUUGUAAAGCACUUUCAGCGGGGAGGAAGGCGUUAAGGUUAAUAACCUUGGCGAUUGACGUUACCCGCAGAAGAAGCACCGGCUAACUCCGUGCCAGCAGCCGCGGUAAUACGGAGGGUGCAAGCGUUAAUCGGAAUUACUGGGCGUAAAGCGCACGCAGGCGGUCUGUCAAGUCGGAUGUGAAAUCCCCGGGCUCAACCUGGGAACUGCAUUCGAAACUGGCAGGCUAGAGUCUUGUAGAGGGGGGUAGAAUUCCAGGUGUAGCGGUGAAAUGCGUAGAGAUCUGGAGGAAUACCGGUGGCGAAGGCGGUCCCCUGGACAAAGACUGACGCUCAGGUGCGAAAGCGUGGGGAGCAAACAGGAUUAGAUACCCGUGUAGUC